rnacentral:piRNA from 1 species
UUUAGAUGGAAGAAAGACUCAUGGAUUCAAC